UACGGGGGGGGCAAGCGUUGUUCGGAAUUACUGGGCGUAAAGGGCUCGUAGGCGGCCAACUAAGUCAGACGUGAAAUCCCUCGGCUUAACCGGGGAACUGCGUCUGAUACUGGAUGGCUUGAGGUUGGGAGAGGGAUGCGGAAUUCCAGGUGUAGCGGUGAAAUGCGUAGAUAUCGGGAGGAACACCAGUGGCGAAGGCGGCGACCUGGGCAGAUACUGACGCUGAGGUACGAAAGCGUGGGGAGCAAACAGG
rnacentral:rRNA from 1 species